UGGCUCUGGCAUCGAUGAAGAACGCAGCGAAAUGCGAUAAGUAGUGUGAAUUGCAGAAUUCAGUGAAUCAUCGAAUCUUUGAACGCACAUUGCGCCCCUUGGUAUUCCAUGGGGCAUGCCUGUUCGAGCGUCAUCUACACCCUCAAGCUCUGCUUGGUGUUGGGCGUCUGUCCCGCCUCCGCGCGUGGACUCGCCCCAAAUGCAUUGGCAGCGGUCUUUGCCUCCUCUCGCGCAGCACAUUGCGCUUCAGAGGGGCGUGGGCCGCGUCCACGAAGCAACAUUACCGUCUUUGACCUCGGAUCAGGUAGGGAUACCCGCUGA
rnacentral:misc_RNA from 1 species